UACGUAGGGGGCAAGCGUUGUCCGGAAUCAUUGGGCGUAAAGAGCGCGUAGGCGGCCCUGUAAGUCCGCUGUGAAAGUCAAGGGCUCAACCCUUGGAUGCCGGUGGAUACUGCAGGGCUAGAGUCCGGAAGAGGCGAGUGGAAUUCCUGGUGUAGCGGUGAAAUGCGUAGAUAUCUGGAGGAACACCGGUGGCGAAGGCGGCAUCCUGGACCAACACUGACGCUGAGUGAGCGAAAGCCAGGGGAGCAAACGGG
rnacentral:rRNA from 1 species